AGGAUUAUAGUUAACCAUAACAUUUGAUUUGCACUCAAAAAGUACUAACCUCUAGUUAAUCUUA
rnacentral:tRNA from 1 species